CCUACGGGAGGCAGCAGUGGGGAAUCUUGGACAAUGGGCGAAAGCCUGAUCCAGCGACGCCGCGUGGAGGAAGAAGUCCUUCGGGAUGUAAACUUCUGAACUAGCCGAAUAAAAGGCCUGUGGACACACAGGAGAAGAAAGUAGGCUAGGAAAAGUCCCGGCUAACUACGUGCCAGCAGCCGCGGUAAGACGUAGGGGGCAAGCGUUACCCGGAAUUACUGGGCGUAAAGGGGGCGUAGGCGGUAAAAGAAGUCAUCUGUGAAAACCUAUUGCUCAACGAUAGGCUAGCGGAUGAAACUGAAUUACUUGAGGGCACCAGAGGUAGACGGAAUUACCCGAGUAGGGGUGAAAUCCGCAGAUACGGGUAGGAACGCCGGUGGAGAAGUCGGUCUACUGGGGUGCACCAGACGCUGAGGCCCGAAAGCUAGGGGAGCAAACCGGAUUAGAUACCCGGGUAGUCCUAGCCGUAAACGAUGCUCACUAGGUGUAGGGAGUGAUAAACUCUCUGUGCUGAAGCGAACGCGCUAAGUGAGCCGCCUGGG
rnacentral:rRNA from 1 species